AACGAACGCUGGCGGCGCGCCUAACACAUGCAAGUCGAACGGAGCUUAGAGAGCUUGCUUUUUAAGCUUAGUGGCGAACGGGUGAGUAACGCGUGAGUAACCUGCCCUGGAGUGGGGGACAACAGUUGGAAACGACUGCUAAUACCGCAUAAGCCCACGGUACCGCAUGGUACUGAGGGAAAAGGAUUUAUUCGCUUUAGGAUGGACUCGCGUCCAAUUAGCUAGUUGGUGAGGUAACGGCCCACCAAGGCGACGAUUGGUAGCCGGACUGAGAGGUUGAACGGCCACAUUGGGACUGAUACACGGCCCAGACUCCUACGGGAGGCAGCAGUGGGGGAUAUUGCACAAUGGGGGAAACCCUGAUGCAGCGACGCCGCGUGGAGGAAGAAGGAAUUCGUUUCGUAAAGCUCUGUCCAAGGGGAAGAUAAUGACAGUACCCUUGGAGGAAGCCCCGGCUAAAUACGUGCCAGCCGCCGCCGUAA
rnacentral:rRNA from 1 species